rnacentral:rRNA from 1 species
AGUGAACGCUGGCGGCGUGCCUAAUACAUGCAAGUCGAACGGAGUGGCGCACGGGUGAGUAAUAUAUAGCUAAUCUGCCUCUUGCUGGAGGACAACUGGUAGAAACGACUGCUAAUACUCUAUAGGAAGGGAUGAGACUAUAUCGUAUCAGCUAGUCCGUGGGGUUACGGCCUACCGGGGCUAUGACGCGUAAUCGGCCUGAGAGGAAGAUCAGUCACAUUGGAGCUGAGCAACGGUCCAAACUCCUACGGGAGGCAGCAAACGGGAAUAUUGCGCAAUGGGGGAAACCAUGACGCGGCGAGGCGGCGUGAAGGAUGACAGUAUUCGAGGAGAAAACUGCUUGUGUUUGGGAAACGGUACCUACCGGAAAGGCACCGGCUAACUCGGUGCCAGCGGCGGCGGAAAUU